rnacentral:rRNA from 6 species
GGGUUGUGAGGUUAAGCGACUAAGCGUACACGGUGGAUGCCCUGGCAGUCAGAGGCGAUGAAGGGCGUGCUAAUCUGCGAUAAGCGCCGGUAAGGUGAUAUGAACCGUUAUAACCGGCGAUACCCGAAUGGGGAAACCCAGUGUGACUCGUCACACUAUCAUUAACUGAAUCCAUAGGUUAAUGAGGCGAACCGGGGGAACUGAAACAUCUAAGUACCCCGAGGAAAAGAAAUCAACCGAGAUUCCCCCAGUAGCGGCGAGCGAACGGGGAGGAGCCCAGAGCCUGAAUCAGCAUGUGUGUUAGUGGAAGCGUCUGGAAAGGCGCGCGAUACAGGGUGACAGCCCCGUACACAAAAGCGCAUGUGCUGUGAGCUCGAUGAGUAGGGCGGGACACGUGGUAUCCUGUCUGAAUAUGGGGGGACCAUCCUCCAAGGCUAAAUACUCCUGACUGACCGAUAGUGAACCAGUACCGUGAGGGAAAGGCGAAAAGAACCCCGGCGAGGGGAGUGAAAAAGAACCUGAAACCGUGUACGUACAAGCAGUGGGAGCACAGGUUUACCUGUGUGACUGCGUACCUUUUGUAUAAUGGGUCAGCGACUUAUAUUCUGUAGCAAGGUUAACCGUAUAGGGGAGCCGUAGGGAAACCGAGUCUUAACCGGGCGUUAAGUUGCAGGGUAUAGACCCGAAACCCGGUGAUCUAGCCAUGGGCAGGUUGAAGGUUGGGUAACACUAACUGGAGGACCGAACCGACUAAUGUUGAAAAAUUAGCGGAUGACCUGUGGCUGGGGGUGAAAGGCCAAUCAAACCGGGAGAUAGCUGGUUCUCCCCGAAAGCUAUUUAGGUAGCGCCUCGUGAAUUCAUCUCCGGGGGUAGAGCACUGUUUCGGCUAGGGGGCCAUCCCGGCUUACCAACCCGAUGCAAACUGCGAAUACCGGAGAAUGUUAUCACGGGAGACACACGGCGGGUGCUAACGUCCGUCGUGAAGAGGGAAACAACCCAGACCGCCAGCUAAGGUCCCAAAGUCAUGGUUAAGUGGGAAACGAUGUGGGAAGGCCCAGACAGCCAGGAUGUUGGCUUAGAAGCAGCCAUCAUUUAAAGAAAGCGUAAUAGCUCACUGGUCGAGUCGGCCUGCGCGGAAGAUGUAACGGGGCUAAACCAUGCACCGAAGCUGCGGCAGCGA